AGAGUUUGAUCCUGGCUCAGGAUGAACGCUAGCGGCAGGCCUAAUACAUGCAAGUCGAGCGGCAAGUUGAGUAGUAAUACUUAGCCUAGAGCGGCGCACGGGUGCGUAACGCGUAUGCAACCUACCUUUUACUGGGGGAUAGCCCGGAGAAAUCUGGAUUAAUACCCCAUGGUAUCUAUGAAUCGAUUGGUUUAUAGUUUAAAGAUUUAUCGGUAAGAGAUGGGCAUGCGUCUGAUUAGCUAGUUGGCGGGGUAACGGCCCACCAAGGCGACGAUCAGUAGGGGUUCUGAGAGGAAGGUCCCCCACACUGGCACUGAGAUACGGGCCAGACUCCUACGGGAGGCAGCAGUAGGGAAUAUUGGGCAAUGGUCGCAAGACUGACCCAGCCAUGCCGCGUGCAGGAAGACGGCCCUCUGGGUUGUAAACUGCUUUUAUCUGGGAAGAAAAAGUCCAUGCGUGGAAAAUUGCCGGUACCAGAUGAAUAAGCACCGGCUAACUCCGUGCCAGCAGCCGCGGUAAUACGGAGGGUGCAAGCGUUGUCCGGAUUUAUUGGGUUUAAAGGGUGCGUAGGCGGCUGAAUAAGUCAGCGGUGAAAGACUUCGGCUUAACCGGAGCAGUGCCGUUGAUACUGUUUAGCUUGAGUGUUGGAGGGGUACAUGGAAUUGAUGGUGUAGCGGUGAAAUGCAUAGAUACCAUCAGGAACACCGAUAGCGAAGGCAUUGUACUGGCCAACAACUGACGCUGAGGCACGAAAGUGUGGGGAUCGAACAGGAUUAGAUACCCUGGUAGUCCACACCGUAAACGAUGAUUACUCGCUGUUAUGGUGUAUGCUGUAGCGGCCAAGCGAAAGCGUUAAGUAAUCCACCUGGGGAGUACGCCGGCAACGGUGAAACUCAAAGGAAUUGACGGGGGUC
rnacentral:rRNA from 1 species